CGGGACGGGUGAGUAACGCGUGGAAAACCUGCCGUAUACUGGGGGAUAACACUUAGAAAUAGGUGCUAAUACCGCAUAAGCGCACAGCUUCGCAUGAAGCAGUGUGAAAAACUCCGGUGGUAUACGAUGGUUCCGCGUCUGAUUAGCUAGUUGGUGAGGUAAAAGCCCACCAAGGCAACGAUCAGUAGCCGGCCUGAGAGGGUGAACGGCCACAUUGGGACUGAGACACAGACCAGACUCCUACGGAAGGCAGCAG
rnacentral:rRNA from 1 species